AUUGAACGCUGGCGGCAGGCCUAACACAUGCAAGUCGAGCGGAGCGGCGGACGGGUGAGUAAUGCCUAGGAAUCUGCCUGGUAGUGGGGGAUAACGUCCGGAAACGGGCGCUAAUACCGCAUACUAUCAGAUGAGCCUAGGUCGGAUUAGCUAGUUGGGGGGGUAAAGGCCUACCAAGGCGACGAUCGGUAACUGGUCUGAGAGGAAGAUCAGUCACACUGGGACUGAAGCAAGGUCCGGACUCCAGCGGGAGGCAGCAGUAGGGAGUAUUGGACAAAUGGCGAAAGGCAGAUACAGGCAUGCCGCUGUUGUGAAGGAGGUCUUCGGAUUGUAAAAGACUGUAAGGUGGGGAGCGUUACCAACAGAAUAAGCACCGGCUAACUUCGUGCCAGCAGCCGCGGUAAUAC
rnacentral:rRNA from 1 species